CGCACUGUUUUGAAAACAGCGGGUCCUGUACAAUCACCGAAGUUAAGCAACGUUGAGCCUGGUCAGUACCUUGAUGGAUGACCGCUUGGAAAUA